AAGCCAGUUGUACAGGAACUGCCAAAGGCAACAGAAAUUCUUUCUCCCUAUGUCCCAGCCUACCCCCACUUUACCGAGGCCAACAGCCGCCUCAGAAACCAGAUUCAGGAGCUAACAUGCCCCAGGUCUCACGAGGAUCAGAGACUCCAGAGGCCAGGGAAGGAGAUCAAGGUAGUCAAGCGGGGGUCGUCUCAGAUCUGGUUGUGCUCGAGCUAUGCAAAUGCCUCUCACGGAGAUGCGAGGACCUAUCUAUUAUGAUGACCAGGGCCACAUCCGGAGGGGGCAACAGACUUUCAUCUAUCAGCCCUUUUCAACCACUGAUCUACUAAACUGGAAACACUCUGAACCCUGCCAUCUUGCUCCUGGUAUCAGAGAGCCCUGUCGUGCAUAACUGUGUAGAAGUGUUGGACUCGGUUUACUCCAGCAGACCUGAUCUCCGGGACCAGCCUUGGGCAUCAGUAGACUGGAAGCUAUAUGUGGACAGGAGCAGCUUCAUCAACCCACAAGGAGAGAGAUGUGCGGGAUAUGUGGUGGAACCCUGGACACUGUCGUUGAAGCCAGAUCGUUGCUCCAAGGCACUUCAGCCCAGAAAGAUGAGCUCAUUGCUUUAAUUUGGGCCUUAGAACUCAGUUAAGGCCUUCUACGGUCCCAGGCUUUCUGCUGCAUACACUGAAGGGCCACGAAGUACAGUCAUCUGGACUUGGCACCUGGAAUACAAGGAUGGAAAGCAUCAUUUCUGCCAGCUUCUUAUGGUCCUGAGGCGAGACAGUCAUGAGAGAGGAAAACUGCAAUGACUUCUGACCACUGCCAGCCUCGCUUCCUGCAUUUUCUUCUUCGGCUUACUCUUGCCAAGUUGGAGUUGCCUAACUUCCAAGAGGGUAUUUGCUCUUUUUUUUUUCUCACUCCACAAACUCUUCCCAGGUAGUUCAGUCCACUCCCAUCUACCAGUCACUAUACGCCGAUGAAUGCCAAUAUUAUUAUUUCCAGCUUAGACAUUGUUCUUGGAUUGCAGAUGUGAGGUUUGACUUGUUUACUAGACAUUGCUGGCUGAGGAUCCCUAGCAUAACAUGGCCCAAAUUCAAUUUAUUUCCAAAGCUGUCUCAUCUCCUUUGUUCUCUGUAAUGAUGUUGCUAUCCAUUCGAUCAACAUACUCAGAAAUAUCACCCCCUCCUUCCUUCUUCCAAGAUAAGUGAGUUGCUCACGACAUGAUCAUGUUUUGGCAGUGUACUCUGUCCAUUCCCAUCACUUAGUAAGAAUCAUCUAGGUUAUGCUGAAGUAUGAAGUUAAUCUCCAAAUUUCUCUGGCUCAGUACAGAAAAAGUCCAUUUCUCCCUUCUGCAAUGCACCCAAUGCAGGUCUGCAGGGUCUCUGCUGUGCGUUGUCCCUCAGGGACUCAGGCUGAAGAGGCCCCCUUGUCUUAUCUGGCCACCUCCUCUGCACAUGGCUCAGGAUUUUCCAGGCAAGGGGUUGAGCAGAGGCUUUUCAGUGCUGGGCCUGGAUGUGACAUAAGAUGCUUCUGCUCACAGCCUUGUGGUCAGAACAAGUCACAUCAUCCCUCCUACUUGCAGGGGUGCUGGGCAGCGUAGUCAUCCACAGAUCAGGAGAGGGAGCAGAGGCAGGUGUUCCCGGGCUGCAGCGAUCUCCACUGCACUGCUGUGGGCUGAACUGUGCCCUCCACCCCACCAAGCUUAUAUGCUGCCAGCCUCACCCUCCACACCUUAGAAUGUGGCUGUAUCUCGACAUAGGGUCCUUACAGAGGUAGUUAAGUUAAAGCAGGGUCAUUAGGGUGGGCCCUAAGGUACUCUGACUGGUGUUUUUAUGAGAAGAGGAGAUUAGGACUUACAGGGAGAGACACUAGGUAUGUGAGCACACAGAGAAAAGACCAUGUGAAGACGAGAAGAAGGCAACUGUCUCCAAUCCAGACGGAGAUGCCAGGCACAGCCCUUCUGUCACAACCCUCAGAAGGAACCAACCCUGCCGACACCUUGGCCUUGUACUUCUGGCCUCCAGAACCGCAGGAAAGUACAUUUCUGUUGCUUAGGCCGCUCAGCCUGUGGCACUUUGUUACAGCUUCUCACCCAGUUCAGGCCCUUUUAAUUGAUUGCUGGGCCUUUGCAGUUGUUUUUGCUUCUAAUAUAUUCAUCUCUCAAUUUAUUUCUGGAGGCUGCCACCCGAGGGGCAGAACUUCAAUUGUGUCCCUAAUGGGAAACCUUGCUGGGAUCAUGUGGUCUACAGCACAAGGUUGCUAAAGCAUCUUCUGCCAGAAUUCUGUGAGUAUCUGGUUAGGUGGGUCUGGAAUAUACUGAGUUUAAAAAAGUUAAAUAGGUUUCUUUACUGCAAGAUGUUUCAGAGACUUUAAUAUGCUACUCUGCUGUAUGAAUCUCCAGGCAGGAAAUCUUAUAAAAUGUGUUUCUGAAAUGAAUUUGCACAUAAGACCCUGUUUUCUUGGAGCCUCUGAUAGUGGGUGAAUGCCCAAUCUCUAGUGGGACUUGCAAGACUUUGCAAUUGGGCAGACAUAUUUCUUUUCACCUUAUCUCCCUCUGUCUCUAUGGAGAUACUCCCAUCGCAUCAAAGUUCUUCUUAUUACUUACACAUGGGGUGGCAGCUGUGACAUGCACCCAUCACAUCUCCCUCCAAGAGACCCUACAGGGGAGCACAGUUGGCUGGCAGCUCCCGGUGUCUGCGCCUCCAGGCCCACUGCUCCCUUGGGCGGCUCCCAGUCAGUGGCAAGGUAGCGGGGUUCUGGAGGAGGCCCAUUUCUACCUGCAGUGGGGAAGCUGGGCUCCUCUAAGAGGCAAACUUCUCAGAGACUCCACUGUGGCUCUGCUGAGGCUGAGAACUGUGCUUUUGGUCUGAGCGCAUUCUCCCCAUUCUCCUUCCUGCCCCCGCUCCUUGCGCCGGCCUUAGACCAGCUAGCUGUCUGCAGGCUUUCCCUGCCCACGGCUGCCCCUCCUUUCCCCUUCACAGCCGUUUCCGCCCACAUGCGCCGUGCAUGGUUAAUCGCACCGUGCCAUCCACUUCUCUGAGGACCUGAGUUAGCACACAAAGUAUGUUCGUUCCCUGUGUCCUCACCUCUCCCUGAUGUAUCUUCUCCCUUCCUCUGCUGGCUGUCUGUUGGGAAUCUUGGGAAAGGAAUUUGUGAGUAAUGUUCCAGGCAGCCUAGCUUUUAGGGUGAAUGACUGGUUCUGACUUAUGUCAAUACAUCCUUGAGUCAUGCCAAGAACUGUGGGAUGAUCAAGGACCACGGACCAGUGUCCUGGAAGCAUCGAUGGCUCCAAGCUGCUGGCACCACUGUCCUUGGAAUUACCGAGUGUGAUUUUUAGAGUUACGGGCACAUUUCUCAGGCCCCAUAAAUGUGAUGGAUGGUGAAUUACAGGACUUUUGAGUAUAUAGUGAGUGGACUACAAUUGUGCUGUAUGUAGCCCACUGCUUUGUGCGUGAGGCGAUUUUAGGCCAUUGAAGGAGUUCAGCUGUCCUCCAUAUGAGUCAUUUCCUAGACAGUGUACUCUGCAAAAGCCCAAAUAACUUCACAAAUGUAACAGUUUAAGCUCUUAUCAGCCAUGUAUACCACACUGAGAUGAGUAUAUCAUAUUUCACAUAAUAUAAAAUAGAAGUAACAUCAUACAUUUCACUCUUAUUUCUCCUUCUGGAAGCCACCAUGCCCUAACUCAUUCUCUUUCUAAAUUUCAAAACAUCCAAACAUUUCCCAGCUUAUUUUAUUUGCAACACAAACUAGCAUUUUUCUUUUUAUUCAUAAGCUAAAAACUUUAUCACUGAAAUCAUUUUAUACUGCCACGUAUCAUUCUUCACUCUCUCAAUACAGUGCUCUUCUCAUUGGUUAGUCAAUAGUUUAUAAGAGUUCCAUAUUUUUAUCUUUGGUUGAGAUGUAUUAAUUGAUUAGAGAUACUUUUACAAUUGUAAUUAAAAAGUUUAAUCAUUAAAUUUAAUGAGACAGGUAUACGGAGGUUCAGAAGAAAUGUAAGGAAGUGAGACAAGAAGAGAAAGGGAGGUUACGAAAAGUGAGAUUAGGAAAAUAAACGGAAGACCACGUUGAUACUGACUGGAAAACGUGGAAGGUUUACUAAUUAAUCAGUGCUAACAUGACCACAAAGCAUAUGUUACUAUUUUUACUAUUGGAACCCACCGUUAAGUAGUCAAAGUUGCAGGAUAAAGUGUCUGAAAACAUAUAAAACAGAUAAAAUGAUGAAAGUGUAAACAGGUACAUCUUUUCUGAAGGCAGUUUGGUGUGCACUAAAGUGCAGAAUAUACCUUGCAAUUCUACUCCCAUGAAUAUAACAGAAAGUAAUUACUGAGUUGGGAGCGGUGGCCCAUGCCUGUAACCCCAGCACUUUGGGAGGCCUAGGUGUUGGAUCAUUUGAGGUCAGGAGUUUGAGACCAGCCUAGCCAACAUGGUGAAACCCCCUCUCUCCUAAAACUACAAAAAUUAGCCGGGCAUGGUAUUGCAUGCCUGUAAUCCCAGCUACUAGAGAGGCUGAGGCAUGAGAAUCGCUUGAACCCGGGAGGCAGAAGUUGCAGUAAGCUGAGAGAUCGCACCACUGCACUCCCGCCUGGGUGACAGAGUGAGACUCUGUCUCAAAAAAAAAAAAAAAAAAGUGCAAGGAUGUUUAUUACAGUAUAGUAAAUCGCAAGCAGGAAAAUCCUAAAUGUAUUAUGUUGGUACUAAAGUAAUUGUGGUCUUUGCCGUUAAAAGUAGUAAAUCCAUGGAGAAUGGGUUAAAUAAAUGAUAGUUUAUGUAUACACACAAAUACCAUGUGGCUGGUAAAAAUGAUGGUGUAAAUUAUAUUUACAGACUGAUAAACGUAAAAAGUAUCUGGGACAUAGCAUUAUUGAAAAGAAAGCAGGCUAGUGAAUACUAUAAUUAUUUUGUAAAAGUCUCUUAUGGACAUAAGUUAUAUAUUUACAUGGCCAUAUUUUGCACAGGAAAUAUGAAAAAGUAUAUAUAUCAAACAGUAAUGGCUUAUUUUUAUCUUCUGGGAGUUUUGCAGGUGCUUCCCUCUUUACACCAUUAUAUGUCAUCUGAAGUUUUGUUCUGAUUCUGUAUUAUUUCAUUUCUAAAAGAAAAGCCCCAAAACCAAGUGCUGUUUUCCUGGUCUGUGGAAACAGAGUCUCCGAGGAAUUAGGCUAGACAUGGCACAGUCUGUGACAGAUGAGAACAGGUUCAAAUUGGCUCCAGGCUGAAGUUUCCACAGAGCUGAGAAGAAUGAUCUGCAUAAUCAGUCUCUCACCAGGGAGCUCCUGGAGCUCAGACAGGCCCUCAGCGAGGCACGCAUGUUCCUGUAAGGACAUGGGGAUCUGGGCAGUGCUGCACUGAAUAACGUAGCAUAAGACAUCAAGACUCAAUGUGUUAAUAAUAGGAAUGAAAGAACAGGGAGCUCCAUGGACCUGCUGCUUCCCCUAAAACCCCGUGACACUUUUGUUUCUGAUAUCUGUGCUAAACUUUAGGAAAAUUUUACUUUAAAAUCUUGUGACAGAGAAUUCUGUCAUUUUUUGACUUUUAGAGAAUUUUUAGAGAAGUUUUCAAUUUUUAGAGAAUUCUGUCAAGUGUUUUCCAGGUGUGGGAAGCCCCAAAGCCAUGGUGACAUUAGCUUAUCUGCAGCAUGUGUUCCCAUCCUGACCAAGCAUUGGUGUUGACAGGAUUUAGGGCAACAAUUCCCCUGUGGCUCCAUCGAGAUGAGUUGGGCUGCUUCAAAUCAAUAUGUAGCAGAUAGAGUUUCCCAAUUUUGCAUGCUGUCAAUAAUGAGGAUCUGCUGAUUUCUGUUUCUCUACUCCCCAGAAUUGUUACCAUUUUUUGUCAAUGACAGUUUCAAAGCUUGGCCACCCCUUUGGAGGUGCUCCAGGUUGAUUGUCCCUGGAAGGAGGUGCUCCAGAUUAUGACAAUGGAGCAAGAACUGCUGAAAUGGAGGGGUAGAUUCCAAUCAUCCAAUACAGCUCCGUGUCCUGAGAGAUAAUUGUCUAAGGUGUUGUGGAAUAGUGACAUCAUGGAGUAAAAUCGAGAGUGGAGGUGUUACACACAGUGGACAGUUCCAUGCAGAGCCAGAGUGCUGAAGGCUGAUGAAGCAAAUUCACUCAUGUAAAUUCCCUCAAAAUACAUUUAUUGAGCACAUCCUUGGCACUGUUCUACAGGUUGGAGGUGUGGAGAUAAAGUCCCUGUUUUCAUGGAUCUCACGAUGGAUAGUGUGAGAAUUACGUGAAGAAGCUUAAGUCAAAAGGCAGAGAGCCACCCCUUUGGAGGUGCUCCAGGUUGAUGGCUGUCCCCGGAAAGGAGGUGCUCCCAACCACAAAAAUGGGGCAGGAACUGUAGGGUGCUGGAGCUUAUGCAGUAAAGUGCUGUUAAGUUUGGGUGUUUCAUUGGCUUGUAGGGAUGUUGAAACUUUCCUGACCCAACCAGCCUUGUCUUGACUUGCUUCAGAGUAAAAAUGUGGCAGCAGGCAUGAAGCAGCAUUUCUGGUGCUGAGCUUUACUGGCAGUCCUAGCCAUAGCUGAGUUGUCAAAAGCCAGUUACGCAAAUGGCAUUGACCUUCCUAGCUGUCUUCUCAUGCAGCAUGUCCUGGUAAAGCUGUCGAGUGGCAAAUGAGAAUCCUUUUCUGGUCUCAGUGAUGGAGAUGUUUUCAUUUUCACCCACACCCUUAAUUUUUACUGAUAAUAAAACUCACAGACGUCCUGGUCCCUAGUGAAGCCAGACUACUAAGGCUUAAGAAUGAAGAUGAUCCGCUUGUACCCACACCCAUGAGCCAGUUAGAAGAGUAUGAUCUACACAGAGACCAUUGUGAAACCAGGCAGUGUGUGACAAUUGCCUGAAAUGGGGACAUGGCAUCAAAAAGUAUUUUAGGAGUUGAUGGGGGAAAAAAAUCUCUUCUGGAUACGGGAGAGGCUGACACCUGAAACUGGAUAUGUCCCAGGUAUCUCAAGUUCCAUAUGACCGAAAGUGACACUACUAACAUUCCUUCAGAAGUGUCACCCUCUGUUACAAUCACCUUGGACAAGCUGCAUUUGUUCCCUAAACCUCCAGCUUCCAAACUUAAAAAUAGGGGCACUAUCUCAAAGGAUUGUUGUGAGAAUUCUUUCAACACAUAUUUGUGGACCCACCAACAACACCUUUGUUUCUAUUCUAGGCACAGGGUAUAAAAAAUUGAAAAAAGAGAAAAAAUCCCUGAUUUCAUAGAUCUUUAGAUCACAAAUCAUCCCAUGAGAUGAUUUAUAAGCUGUGAAUUUCAACACAAAUGUUCACUUGUAGGUAUUCAGCAGCAUUUGGUGACCCCAGUGGGACACUGCUGUGGCAUCUGUCCUAUCUGGGUGCCUGGGAGGGUCAUCAGCUGCCCACACAUCAACAAACUGAGGAAGUGCAGUGCGUUACAGUGUAGUUACCAUGGUAACAGCACCAACACCUGCAGCUUGGGUGACUUUUGAUUUGAGGUUUGAAUUGAAAGCCACUGCAGCUUGUCCUUGGCUAUUAUAUCUUGACACAUACUCCCAUUCCUCCUAAUUGGAAGACAGGAGCCUCUUCUUGUGCUGGGUUCUACAGCUUUGGAAGAUAAUGUCUCCUUCUGAUGCCUCUCUCACACUCACCCUGACAUCAAGGAACCCUCCAAAUUCUUUAGAACAAAAUGCAGAAAACCCCAUCUGGCUGUUUUGUGUCCUGUAGUGAUAGACAAGCAGAUAGAAAUUUCAGUUUAUUGACAGAGGCAUCAUGUCUUCUUAUUUAGAUUCUAAAAUCCACACAUUAAGUUAGCCAAAAUCAAAGUUGAAGGCCAUUUGUUACCUCUGUGUAACUUAGUCUGCAUGC
rnacentral:lncRNA from 1 species